GUGGGAGCAGAGCACGGGAGGCAGAGCCCAGCUUGGCCCUGCAGCCCAGCGCCAGCCUCCUGGGAGGGUUACACCUCAUCCAACCACGGAUAUGGUGUUUGACUCAGGGGGCAGCUUUCCAACACGAGACAUUUUGCUAAUCUUUUUU